GCAGCCGCGGUAAUACGUAGGGGGCAAGCGUUGUCCGGAAUGACUGGGCGUAAAGGGCGUGUAGGCGGCUCUUUAAGUCUGAAGUGAAAGUCCUGCUUUCAAGGUGGGAAUUGCUUUGGAGACUGGAGAGCUUGAGUGCGGAAGAGGUAAGUGGAAUUCCCAGUGUAGCGGUGAAAUGCGUAGAGAUUGGGAGGAACACCAGUGGCGAAGGCGACUUACUGGGCCGUAACUGACGCUGAGGCGCGAAAGCGUGGGGAGCGAACAGGAUUAGAUACCCC
rnacentral:rRNA from 1 species